rnacentral:rRNA from 1 species
CGGACGGGUGAGUAAUGUAUGGGGAUCUGCCUGAUGGCGGGGGAUAACUACUGGAAACGGUAGCUAAUACCGCAUAAUGUCUACGGACCAAAGCGGGGGACCUCCGGGCCUCGCGCCAUCAGAUGAACCCAUAUGGGAUUAGCUAGUAGGUAAGGUAACGGCUUACCUAGGCGACGAUCCCUAGCCGGUCUGAGAGGAUGAUCAGCCACACUGGGACUGAGACACGACCCAG